ACUGUAAAGAAGGAAAUAAACUGUUAGAAGAGGGAAAACUGAUGGUUUCUUUUGUGUAGGCCACAGAUGCAUGAUGAAUUGUCACCUCCACCUCCUUCCGCCUCAGAUGUUUGAUGAUGACUUAUCUGAGAGCUUUGAAGGAGAGAGCAUCAGAAAAGACACCUUGCAUUCUCUUAUUAGUCUCUAAAUGCUUUAUGCCCAGGUUCUAAGGGCCUGGAAGAGUAAGCUUGAUUCUGGCACCAACAUCAAAGAACAGGAGCUUGCUUUGGAAGUCUCUUAAAUGGAGCAUUUAUUUCUAAGCUGGUUCUUACAAGAGCUUCCCAACUAGCUGGGGACAGGGCAAAGGUAGUCUCAGCUUCUUGGUAUUUCAGAGUCUGUUUCUGGAAUGAGAGGACUGGAUUAGAUCGUUAUUUCCCAGAAGGUGGGUUUCAUACCACUUGGGACAGCUCAAGUCUUAAAAAAACAAAUCACAAAAUAAUCACUUUCCCUUUUAAAUUCUCUUUGAUCCUUCUGAUUAUGUCAAAUUUCCAUUUGGGAUUGGGGUGUCUUUAACACCUCCCCAUCACUUGCUAAUUUCCCUGUGUAAAUAAGUGUAGGCCUCAGCAUUCAUUUUUUAAAGUUAGUGUCUGUUUAUGGGAGGUGAUAGUGAUUUUCCAUUUAAAGCAGUGAUAGAGUUUAUUUUUAGAAUAAGUUUAUGUAAGUAAAAAACAACUAAUUAAGAAAAUAUUAAGUACAUAAUAGCUUAGGUGAUAUGUACAUAUGGCAAAAUGUAAUGGCAAUACAGAGAGUUUGGAAACAGUGAACAAGGCAUGUUUCUGAGGGGUUUUCUAGGAUCAGAACUCUACAAUAAGUUCCCAAGUUUGACACAGUCACUUGCAAACUAAACUUGAAAUUUGGACAUUGAGCAUAGGACCCAAAUUUUAGAUGUUAAGACUAAGUAGAUAAAAAUUGGCUUUAAUGUGUUAUAGGAAAUGAAUCUGUGCUACAUGUUAGCCAGCUUAAAAAAUAAAGCUAGAUUUCUGUCCUCAGAACAUAAAUCUUGUUUCUUUUCAAAGCUUCAAAGAACAUUCCAAAGUUCCAGCUAAAAUUAUUCGACCCAUCCUGUUCCUUUUCCCCUUCACUCUGGUGGUAAGGAUUGGGCGAGAUUACACUUUAAUUGGGGUUAGCCCUAGAAUGUAAAAGGAACUUGGAUUUGGAAGUCAGACUGAACUGAGUUCAAAUCCCCACUUGGCCACCUUUGAGCUGAGAGAUCUUGGACUUGUGUCUCAUUCUCUAAGCCUUAGUUUCCUCAUCUGAAAAAUGGGAAUUUGCAAGGGAAUUGGGAAGAUCAAAUGGGCAUUCAAAGGGCUUCCACCGAGCAAGUGCUUAAUAGGUCACUAUCAGCAGCAGCAUCUGUAAGGAACGUAGAUCAGUUGAGUAGAAGCUGUUGGUGGUUAUACCUAUCAAGAUGUCUGCUCGGAGGUAGUUCCUUCCUUUGUAAGAAUUAAAGGGAUCAGAGUUAGCAUUGGGCAUUAUUUUUUAACAAAAUAUGUUCCAGGCAUACUGGCAAGCUUCACAUUCAUUCCUGCCAGGUAGAACAACAAAAAAAUCUAGUGUGGCUUUCUGGUUGUUCCCAGAAUGACUUUGAAAUGGGGUAGUGUGUGAGAGAGGCGCCCUGUCCAGGGGAGUAGGGAGCAGGUUGUCCCGAGGCCAGCUCCCACCUGAUAUGCAUCAUCUGGGAAUCCUAGCCAAACUCCAACCACAGACACAAACCUGAGGCAAGCAGAUGAGGGUGGAUUAGGUUGCUUUGAGCUCUGCAUGCCCUACUCAUUUGUAGGGUGCUUUAAUUAUAAAUGGAUCCUUUGUUGAAAAUGUAAGGAAACUCCAUAGUGUGUGAUGGAUACUAGCUGCUAAAGAGCUAUACAACUAAAAAAUGACCCCUAAUGCUCUUUAAUUGUCCAUAAAUGUUAAUUGAGACCUGGCUCUGUAUAUCAUUUCCCCCCUGGUUUUUUUUUUAAAAAACAAAAGGUGUGCUUUCUGUCCUCAAGGAACUUCUACUUCAGUUUGAUCAAGCCAUUAACAACGAGACCAUACAGGUAGCGACUGUCAACCAGGGGGAGGGGGAGAAGCAGGCAAUUUCAUUGGGGAGUUUGGCAGACUAUGGAGGGGGAAUAUUGAGAAGUGGUGAUCCUAUGAGGUCCCCGAUGCUGGAUGCCUGCCACCCACCAGUCCUCAAGUGUGCCCUUAGCAGAGGGCAGCAUCUUCUGGGGGCACAUGAGCAGGGCACCUUUGAACUGGGGCUAAGAUUCUGAGGGAAGAGUCAGUAGGAGCUGCUGAUCCCAGAGUGAUGACAGGGCUUGAAUUCUGAAAGAACAUUUUCUCCUAUUCCACUGCCUGCGUCAGUGUUGACUUCCCUGCUGUUUCUACAGCCUAUUUGCUUCAGGGUUCCCGCCUGGUUUAGGAAACUAACAGUGCUGUGGUUAAUUAAGAACCCAGGCCUUGUGAGUGAGUAGCCUUGGGCUCAAUUCAGGCCGUGAGACUUCAAGCAAAGCCCUUAACCCCUCUGAGUCUCAGUUGCCUACACUGUGAAAUGGGUAUAUUAAUAGCACUAACUUAAGAGAAAGAAGUCAAGGAAAUGAUGCACAGAAAGCACUUUGGCGCAGCCUAGCACAAAGUCCUCCUGUAUAUUGCUGAUAUGUUGUUAUUAUCAGAGGAAGCUGUAUAUCCUGGGAAGCCAGUGUGGAGGUGGUGGGGAAAGUAUUCAAGGCAGGUAGAUUUGAAUUCAGAUUUCACCACUGCCAGUUAAUUACUGGGAAUGACUUGGAGGCAGCUGUUUCACUUCUCUGAACACCUGCUUCCUCUUCUGUGAAAUAGGAUAACGGGGUUGCCGUAUAGCAUAGAUGAGAGUGUGUGACUUCAUGGCUCCUGGUGCCUCUUCCUUCCCUCUCCUAGGCUUCCCUCACUGUUUACAUAGUGCUUCCAAGUCACGAGUCACACCUGCAUCAGGUGUAGGAUGACUGAUCUGUUUCUAGAAAAUUGCUAGAGUCUAUGAGUAGGCAAGUGCCUUGGCAGGUCGUAAUUUAUUUAAUCACAAUUGAUUGAAGCUUUGCAAGAUCAAGUCGCCCUCUGCACAAUCCUGCUUUCCAAACUCAGGGGCACCCUUCGCUUGACUCUUAAAUGUUGGGACAGAGGGAAGGAGGGCUUGGCAUGUAAAAGCGCCUUCCACUCCAGGCCCUUCCCAACCUGGCAGUGCUUGGUAAACCUUUACCAAGGAAAUUAUUUUGUCAGGUUAGACUCCCAGCAGUCUUCAAAGGAACCCUCCCUUCCGUAGAUGACCCAUAUUGGAAAACUGAACUUUGCUGCUCUCUGCUGCACGUGUCCUUUACCUCAGGAAUAAAUACCAUUUUUAUUUUGCCACCAAAAUGUCUUUUAUGGAAACUUUUAUUGACAUCCCUUACCACUGACUCUACAAUGGCUAGCCAACUUUUUUUUAUUUUUUUAAACCCAAGAACCAAAUCACAGGUUUGUAUUUACUUCUUUCAUUUUAAGUCAGUUGCCACUGUCUACCUAUUUUCUUCAUUAUCUCUUUAGAAUUGUAACUAGCUGAGAGUGAUGCUGGGGACAGAGCUGAGUCUCUGAGCUCCUUACCUCCUUUGUUGUAUGCUACAUCCUUUUUUUAUAUUCACAGGCUUCUGCAUUUUAAUAAACUGUAGAUAAUGAUACAUCCGGUUGCAUAUUAAUUGCUGGAAGUUCAAAAUAACACGUAAUCACUAUGUUUCAAGAUUGCAAAUGUACAGCACUGAGAGCCAGUGUUCCUUAUAAACUUUUGGAAAAAUCCAUUUGUUACUGGGUAUUUUUUAAUUCUUGUCAUUAAAAUGCACUGCAGAAUGGAAAAUGUCUCAACAAAUGAAAUCAGUUUUGUGUUCUGCACUCAUGCACAUGCACAUACACCCCUUCCAAAGAAUAACAUUUUGAAGCUAUUCAUUUGCUCAUUUGGGGUGUGUGGGGGCAACAGAAAUGCCAAAUGAAUCCAUUAUAGAUUACUUACCUCACAGCUUCCUGAACAGCAUGCUUUGUAUCUUAUUUUUCUGCAUACCAUUGCUCAGUGGGCGGUAAGAUGUCAGCUGAAAGCCAAAAGCAGAAAAGCUUAAAAUUUUUAAAAAUUUAUUUCCAGUUUAAUCAAUCCCAUGUGAUUGUUUGACUAGUAGCUUUUUCCAUUUUGAAUAAUCAGAUUUCAGUGUAUUCUGUUCUCGGCUGGGAGCAGAGUGUUCUAAAACACCCCUGUGCUGCAUUCCCUGGUUCUAAGUGUGGGCAUGUGCUCCUGAGGACACACAUGGACCAAACAUUUGAAGGGAUAAUUUGUGCUAGAAGGGACAGCCAGGAGUUACCAGGGAGCACCUCAAAUGUAUUUUGUGUUUCUCUCUGGAGGUCACAUCUCUGCAAGGCCUGUCUGCUCGAAAUUGUUGUUCUUGUCAAAAAUAGAAACCAACUAGACCUCAAGAGAAGGAGAUCCAUUUUCUUCUGCAGACCCAGUGCCCUUGGUCAGAUGUCCCUGUAGGUUUUACCCAGUAACCAAUUGGGAUCCCUAGCCUCUGUCUAGUUUUCAGUCAGAUGACAGACCUGACUGUCAGCUUUGCUUGUCUGAGAUGUGUUCGAUCAUCCCAGAUUCGACUAGAACAGUCUGUCCUUCCUUAGGGACAUUGAGAUUAAGAUCUGUGCAUCCUUUUUCAUCUCUGUACUUUUAUUUCCUUUUCUGAGAAGUUAAGAUGAUGUUGAGCUUCAAAGAAUGACAGAUGGAUGAGAGAGGGAGGGGACUUCUCUGUAGUUCUGUGUGGUCCUUUCUUGGUAACGGAUUUUUUUGUGAAUUUUCACCUUGCACAUCCGACAUGAGUUGAAUGCCCAGAGUUUCUCUCAUUGCCUAGUCCCAGACAGUACUGGGAUCUGGCAAGACUGGAGACUAGCUCUUCUAGCCCAUAAUUCAGCAGUAUCAGAGGCAGUGGGUGGGUGGGAGAAUGCAAACCCAUCUAUAAGGACCCAAGAUAAGGACUUGGGUUCUUAUCUUGAGAUUUUACUGCUUUCCUCUCUUCCAAUAUAGCCUUGAAUCCUGCCAAACCACCCCCGCUUUUGCUCUAUCCAGCCAGAGCUUGACUAAACAUAUGAUAAAACCACAGGAAGAAAGGGAAGGCAGGAAUGUGGAAUCAAAAUACAUGGUCUCUUAGCAGCCUCAGUGGCUAGAGCAGUUACUGGUAUGAUUCUGGCAGGUGGCAUGGAAAUCUAGCUUUGUCCCUGGAAGGAUCAAGGCAAAAUCCAGUGUUGCAGGGAAUAGAAAAGGGCAGGGGUACAGGCUGGCAGACAGACCACACCUCUCCCAGGACGUCAGAAAUAAGGGCAAUAAUCUGUUAUUUUGGAUUACUGAGGACUUUGUAACGGGUGAGUACCUACCAAGCAUAUUAUACACACAGUCCCAUCUGAUCCUCCCAACAACUAUAUGAGGCAGUAUAGGAGAGUAAUCUUCACUUUUCAGCAGAGGAAACCAAGCUUAUAGAGGUUACAUUUUGGGCCCAAGGUCACAGGAUAUUGCACUCUGACCAGACAGGUUGGCUCAUAUUUUAUCCUUAGAUCCUUUGCAAAGAAUUGAUGCAUUCUUUGGGCCAGAGUGAUACGAACUUUGUCACUUACUGCAGAGGCAUUCAGCUUAUUCCUAAACUCUGAGAGGGCCCAGAAAAUGUCCUUAAAGAAGGAGGAAUGGAACUUCCCAGUGGCAUCUUUUUCCCUCUUCCCCUCCAACCCCACCCAAGAGGAAGCCAGGGAAUCCCUUUUACAGAGAUAACCACAUGCAGAACAUAUAUUCCACCCAGAGGUUUCCAAGAAGUCAGCAGGAAAUGACUGGCUCCAAACGCCAAAGCCACAGAGACCUUCCUCUGGACCCCCUGGCUGUGACCAGGAGACCUUUUCUACCUCUGGGUGCCUUGUUGGCAUCAUCCAGCCAGGGAUGUCCAGCCCCAUUUUCCAGACUGGGGGAUGGAUGUUGCAUUGUAGGCACGUUAUUUCUGUGGCAUUCUUGCCAAAAAUGCAUAACCUGAUGUGAGAAAACAUCUCUGGGCCCGUAGCUGGCCUUCCCGUAAGGGCCGCAGAGAAGUGAUGCUGCUGGCGAGCCUCCUAAUUUUUAAGGAGACUGAACUCUUUAAAGUGCUCCAGCUCUGAGCAUCUGGCCCUUUCUGCCUCAGAAGGCAGAUGUGGAGCCAGGGACCGCAGAGAGAGCUAAAUAUUUGGCUUCCUCUUUCUCUGAAGGUCUAUAGCAUCAUGUCUGGGCAUGACCGAGAUGAGUUUCAGGCAAUGGGGGCUGGUGUUUGCUAAAAGGAACUUAACCGGGGUGUGGGUGUGCAUUUCUCCCUCUGCCCAAGGUUAAGUAAUAGUAACAUCCUGUGUAAAGAGAACUUGAAUGUGGUUUUCUGCUAAACUUCAGUAUUUUGGGGCUAUUUAUUAGAUGUGUUUAAUCUUGGGCCAAUUUAACCAGUAGCAGACUAAUAAAACAACAAAUUUGGGCUUGCUGCCAGGACAAAUGUUGACUUACCCUUAUAAUGUUGACUAAAAUGAAUGACUUUGAAAGUUAUUGCAGAGUGAAACCUUAGCCAAAAAUACAGUGUCUGAAACAAUGGUUUUGUUUUAUUUUACUGGCUCGGCUUAGAGCUUAUGUUUAUAACCUAGGCUGCUGCCUGCUUCACCUCUCAGAGUUCCAUAUUUUACUGAAUUAUUUCCCAAGGUUCUUUUUUUCAGCCCAUAAACCUUCACUUGGCAGAAAUGAAUUUCCCCAUGUAGGCAAGUAGGACUGGUUACUUUUCUCAAUGUGGGGGCAAAAACUCAGUGGUACCAAGAAGAAUAAAGGUAAUAACUUGCUUGAGUCUUCUCUCAGAAACAAAAAGGUAUGCCAUGAACACUCACCCUCUCCAAGUCUGUAGUAAAAUUAAUUGGUACUCCUGGGUAUACUGGAAGAAAUCCAUCUCGCUUGCCCCGUACCCCCACCUUUCCUUCAUUUUGCCAUUCAGUGUAUACAAACAUUAGAGAGCUAUAGUAUUUUGCUAGCAUGUGUGUUGGACUUGAAGGAAGCAGGGGAGGCCCGGAGGAAAUGAAGCUAGGAGGACCACAGAAAUUGUCAUAAAGGGUGAUUUCUUUCUACUCCUGUUUUUUAAAUUUGCAUUUUAUAGGAAGCUGGUUUGGGCAGGGCCUCUGAGCAUGGUUUCAGAGGCUCCUGCCAGUAUUGUGUGAGCUCAGCCAACUGCCAGCUGUCCUCCUUAUGCCUCUCCCUUAUUCAAGGCUCCCCCUGAAGGCAACCAUCUCACAGGCAGACUUUGGCCCAGAAGCCAUAGAUGCUGAAUCUGCCUUUGGUACUGACUGGCUCAGGCAGGCAGAGCUUGAUAUACAGAGAAUAAAUGUCAUCCCUCUAACAUUAAUAUGUUCAGCUUUAUGCACCUGAGAGUUGAUGGUUUAAUUCGUGGGUUUGCCCAGACUCUCCUGUGACUUCGCUCAUCAUCUGCUCUUUAGCACUUCCAUGAGAGGGGGCAGGAGAUUGUUGGAGUCUCAAUCCAGCAGCCGGAAAGCCUGUCUGCAGCUUGGGUUUGAGGCUGAACUAACUCAGGGUGUUUUGUGGACUUUAGUUAUCCAGGCUGUCCCUGUUCCCUCAUUAACAAAAACAAAACAACAAGCCAACAAACCUCAGCUUUUUUUUUUUUUUAAGAAGGAAAUUGGGAUCUUUUCCUCAUAGCACCUUACCUUAUAUGGAGGAAAGAUUUAAGCCAUUUUAU